rnacentral:rRNA from 1 species
UACAGAGGGGGCAAGCGUUGUUCGGAAUUACUGGGCGUAAAGCGCACGUAGGCGGCUUUGUAAGUUAGAGGUGAAAGCCCGGGGCUCAACUCCGGAAUUGCCUUUAAGACUGCAUCGCUAGAAUUGUGGAGAGGUAAGUGGAAUUCUGAGUGUAGAGGUGAAAUUCGUAGAUAUUCGGAAGAACACCAGUGGCGAAGGCGACUUACUGGACACAUAUUGACGCUGAGGAGCGAAAGCAUGGGGAGCGAACAGG